rnacentral:rRNA from 1 species
GACGAACGCUGGCGGCGUGCUUAACACAUGCAAGUCGAACGGAAAGGCCCUGCUUUUGUGGGGUGCUCGAGUGGCGAACGGGUGAGUAACACGUGAGUAACCUGCCCUUGACUUUGGGAUAACUUCAGGAAACUGGGGCUAAUACCGGAUAGGAGCUCCUGCUGCAUGGUGGGGGUUGGAAAGUUUCGGCGGUUGGGGAUGGACUCGCGGCUUAUCAGCUUGUUGGUGGGGUAGUGGCUUACCAAGGCUUUGACGGGUAGCCGGCCUGAGAGGGUGACCGGCCACAUUGGGACUGAGAUACGGCCCAGACUCCUACGGGAGGCAGCGGUGGGGAAUAUUGCACAAGGGGCGGAAGCCUGAUGCAGCAACGCCGCGUGCGGGAUGACGGCCUUCGGGUGGUAAACCGCUUUCGCCUGUGACGAAGCGUGAGUGACGGUAAUGGGGAAAAAAGCACCGGCAAACUACGU